rnacentral:tRNA from 1 species
GGAAAGGUGGCUGAGUGGUCGAAGGCGCCGCACUCGAAAUGCGGUGAAGGGGAAACCCUUCCGUGGGUUCAAAUCCCACCCUUUCCG